AGCCAGGUGACAAAUAUGUGUACCAUAUACAUUUAAUAUAUCUAUCCCUUUAUUACACUGAAUACCUGUUUUUCUUCUCUUUCCAGGAUCCCAGAGUCCAAAGAUUCCAACAAAGCACUCAAAUGGAUCCCAGAGUCCAAAGAUUCCAACAAAGCACUCAAAUGAAACUUUUUGGGAGAACGGAUCACCUAAAAGAAACCGGAUUCCAUAUUUUAUAUUGCUUUUGAUAAAUGUUUAUCAGUGCGGUUGCCGUGGAGAUGGAGUUGGGAUUCCGUGAAUAUGCUGGUUGUUCCGGCCGCUGGUUGGCGAGACACAAAGAGAGGUUGGCGGAAGUUGCAAUCAAUAGAGGCUCCAUGUAUGGAGCCCGCGACUGCACCUCCGGAAGUGAUGCACCGGAGUGUGUGUCUAUUAGUUUACUAGUACUAAUGGGAAUGUCAUUCCAACCAAGGAAGUGACGCCUUUGGUUGGCAUAGAUGACAUCUAGUAACACUAUACACAAUUAGACCGCAAUUGCGGAAGUGACGUAUCGGGAAGCGGACCUAUCGGGUAAUGGAUUCUGUGCUAGGAUUGGAGAAUUCUAUCACCACGGCAACCGAAGGGUUAUUUGAAAUGGGAUUAUCAGCUGUCUAUAAUAAAAUUAUCAGGAUUCCUAUUGGUUGGACUUUAGUAUAAGGAGAAGGAUCAGCAUACCGUCCCUUACUUCACCUUGAAAAAGACCCGCAGCAUCGCGGGUGAAAACUCGUCGGUCUAGAAGGGACGGAAUUUGGACUACAAAGCUCCUGUGCUCUAUCAUUUGUACAGCUGUGAUUACCAGCAUUGGUUUCCAGUGGUCUUUUCCGGAGAGACGUUGGGUGACUUUAUACAACUUGCUGUUUUGAGAGCUGUUAAACAUCAGUUCUCAAACCUAUUGGUAAUUAUUUUGGCUUCAUAUGUAUAGAAGGACUCAGGAGAGAUUUCUAUGUGUUUGGAUGUUACUUCAUG